rnacentral:lncRNA from 1 species
CUGGCCCAACAUUUUUCUUCCCUUCUAGCGCAUUGUUCAUCUUUUUAGGACAAUUAUGUGUAGUGUGCCCCGGUUCGUGGCAAAAGAAACAAACUCCUUUACCCCACAUGCACUCUCCAUAGUGAUAUUUUCCACAUUUCUGGCAUUGUGGUCUUGUCCCCGUUGUUCCUGGAUUAACGCCUCCACCAAACUUCGGCCUCUUAUCUUGGAAGUUUCCUCCGCCUUGAUUAUAGUUCUCCCACUUCCUUUUCAUAGGUUGAUUCGCUGGCUUUUGUGCAGGGAUGUUUGACCCAAGAGCAGUUGCCACCUCUUCGGCUCGCUUAACCAAAUCGCUAAAAUCUUCAAUUACAUGUGCAGCCAUAAUUCCCUUGAUGUCAUUUCUCAGUCCCUUUCUAAACCUAGCUAUCAUUUUGUCUUCUGUGUCAACUAGGUGUGGUGCAAAACGAGCCAACUCAUUAAAUUUUCUCUCGUACUCCUCUAUAGUCAUAUUUCCUUGUUUCAACUCAAAGAACUCGGUUUCCUUCUUUUCUCUGAAUGACAGGGGAAAGUAUUUAUCCAUUACUACUCCCUUGAAGAUUUUCCAAUUGAGAACAUUGCGAUCCUCUUCUCCCAACAGACGAUAGAAAUGUUUCCACCAUUGUCGAGCGUCCUCUUUAAGUUGAAAAACAGCACAUGAAACUUUCUGUUCCUCGGUACAGUUGAUGUGAGUGAAAAUCCGUUCAAGCUCUUCCAACCACUCUUCAGCUGCUAGCGGUCCAUCACGUCCAUUGAACCGUGGCGGAUUAUUGUUCCGAAAUCGCUCUACCGCUUGAUCUAUCGUGUUAGAGGUCUGGUUUAGGUCACGUUGUGUGGCCUGAGUUUGGGUUUGGUGCUGGACAAAACCCUGUAAAGCACUCAGAAAUUGACCCAUGAAGUCUCCUCCAUUAGUUGGAUGAGGUUGUUCUGCUUCUGCUUCGGAAUUGGUAUUUGAGUUCUCGGCGUGGUGGGAAUGUGCACGCGUAUUCCUCAUGGUUCUAUAAUCAAAGGCACUAUGACAUAAAUGAAAGAUUAUAAAACAAGGUUAUUCCUAAUUCGAGGACUAUGUUCAACAUGAAAAUUUUAAACUCAUCAAAACUCAAUAUCAUGCACUGUAAAAUUCCGAAAUAAAAUUCAUGGCUGCAAUAAUUUUCAACAUAAUAACUUGCAUACUGAACUUGAACUUUCUGAUAAUAACUUCAACUAUUGCAGCAAAAUUCAACAUAAAUUUCGGAAUAUAAACAGUUUAUACUCAUCCCCUUGAAAACUUUUAAAAUAACUUUUACCUUGAAGUCGGAGCGCGUAGUGGUCGAAUGGCUUCGUCACAAAUGACUUGAAAAUAUUUUAAGAAAAACAUUUUAUUUUGCAGAGUCUACAGGAAAGUAGACCUGCUCUGAUACCAUGCUGUAACACCCUAAUCUAAUUAAAGUGUUAAAUAUGAAUUUAAAUAAUUUUUGACAGCGAAAAUAUCAUAAAAUAAAGAUUUGGAUUUAUUUUCAAAUAAAUAAAUUUUUAAAUAAAAUAUUUGAAAUAACUUAAAAAGAAGGCCAGCCAUGAUAGGAAGCUAAUAUGAUAACACUAAACUCGAUAAGUUACACCAAAAUCUCAAGAGUAGUUUGAGACUUCGAAAACUGUACAAAGCAAAAGGUUAGGUGUAACUACAACAUUAUAUUUUCCAAAAAUAUUUACUUGACGCGCUCAUUCGAUCCUCUACGCGUCUCCAACCUUAGUUACCUGAAAAUGUUAAAUAUGGGAUGAGCAUAUGAAAUAUACUCAGUGUGGGAACAUGCAAUAAUUGUCCACGUUAAUAAAAUGGUCAACACAUAAGCACUGCACUGUAAUACUGAUAACUGAAAUUCGCACGGUGGCAUACCAAGGACUUUAAAGUCCUGGACCCAUUGAGUGGGCCCCUGGCGAAUAGGUUGCAACCCUAACUGUAACAUGAAAUCGCAUUGUGGCAUACCAAGGACGGUGAAGUCCUGGACCCAUUGAGCGGGCCCCUAGCGAUAUAACUGAAUUUACAACACAUAUGGCAAACACAUAAUAUUAAAAUGGACAAAAAUUACCACGGCAUGUACUGAAUAAAUCCCACACCUGUAACUUGAACUUGAAAAUUACUGCUAGAAAUGUAAAGUUCACGUUCCUAGUCGCGCCGCACCUAGUCAGAUAAAUUCAAAUAGUAACAUAAGGGCCUAAUUGAACUUUACAAAAUACCUUAAUAUAACUAAACUUGAGAAAACUAAUUUAUAAAAGUCUUUUCAAUAAAAUUUGAACUGAAAAAAAAUGAUUAAUUAAAUAAAUUAUAAUUGCUACUUAGAAGAGUAAUUAAAAUAAAAACCCAAUUGAUUAUUAUAAUUAAGGCCCAACCACUUAAUAAACUGAGCCCAAUUAAUUAAAACUAACCUAAGCCCAAGCCCCAAGCCCACUAUCAACCUCUAAUUUAAACUCACACCCAACUCCACUCCACACAUUCACACGCAGCUCACUCCCUCUCUCCCUUCCUCCCUCGGCCUUCUUCCUCUCGGCCUCUUGCCGCCGCACCUCCGGACGGCAGCGCCGUCAGCGCAGACCGGCGGCUCCGCCGCCUCUCCCUCUUCUUCCUAUCUCCCUCUUCCCUCACUCUCACUCCCUCUGUCCCUCUCCUCACCGCGUCUCCCCCUUCUCCGGCGACCCUCGCCGUCUGCCAGCACCUCCUCCUGGCCGUCAGCAGCGGCACCCUUGUCGCCGCCGUGUCGACAGCACAAGCCGGUCAGGCCGCCUUCUCCCUCUUCCUGAAAAGAGACGCACAGCCGAGACCAUAGCGCCGCCGCCCUGCUCCUUCCGCCACCACCCCCUGCUUCCUUCCGCCGGCCGCCAUGGCGCGCAGCGCCGGCGGUACUGCUGCUCAACCACCCCUCCCCCUGUUCUAAGCCACAACCCCCUUUCCAGUUCAUUCUUUCUAUUUUCCUUUUCUUCUUGUAAAGCAGUGAAUAUGCAUGUUUGAAUUAGAAAAAAAAUAAGAACUUUUGUGGGUGUUUGGUUUUGUGCAGAGAUGAACAACAGUAAAUGAAAUAACUUUGUAAAAUCAAUUAAAAUUUACCAGCUUGGAUUCUGUAAUGAGAGAUGGAAAUGGGUUUGUAUGCUGUAGGCGAAACAGACGAGGAAAAGGCGAAUUGGGGGACGAUGAUUUGAGGUUAAAUAGAGCUGCAAGAUUAAGUUUUUACCACAAAAAUGAAACGUGAGCUGCUUGUUCACGUAAGAAAAUUUGUGGAUGAUAAAGGAACCAAAAUUGUGGUUGAGAAAACUGGACGUGCUCCCCAAGCUGAAAAUGGAAAUGAGUGGGCUCUUAAUGUUGAAAGUAAAUUUUGAGAUAAGGCCCAAUAGAGAAAUUUGUAAUAUUCAAUUAUGGCCCAACUUUGAGCAUAAAAAUUUCAUUUGUUAAGUUAAUAAUCUGCAAUCUAAAAUUAUUUAUCUAACUAGGGGCGCGACUAUAUAAUUCACGAACUUGCUAUAUAAAUAUUCUUUUCAUGAUUUAAAAAUUAGUUAAAAUAUAAAUAAUGAAAUCAAACAAAUAUCCAGAUAAUCAAAUAAUUAAAUGGGUUUCGGGCUGUCACACAACUCCUACUUAAUCCUACUUCUACAUGCUAUUUUGUGGGAAUAACCCAUACUAAUAAUCCGGCCUCCCCCCUCGGAUAACUUUAAUACUGCGAAGUUGGAUAAAAAUUUUGCUACCCUUCCUCACGCAUAUCGAUGCAAAUGCUCAAGUAAUGGUGGACACACAUGAUAUUUUUAAAAUUAUAUGAGGAUAGUUUUGGUAUUAGAUAAUAUAAUCCAACAUAAUCCUAUGGAUAUCAAACACAAUAUAAGAUUAAGUAGCCAUGAUAUCAAACACCCAUGAAAUAAUAUAAAUCCACACUAAUCCACACUAAUUUCUCAAGAUAAUUUUAAUCCUAAUCAAUCCUAAACUGCAAAUCAAACGGCCCCUAACUUUCUUAGCAACCUUUACCUUAAAAAUUGUUUACAAUUUGAUUUUAGUGUCAAUGCACAAAUAAUAGGCAUUUACUUGUAAUAUUGUUUUAUUACAAUUUUAAUGUGUCACGUUCGAAGUAGAAGUAAAGAGUGAUCAUCGGUGCAUAAGGCACGGACAAAAAGUGGCUAUUGUUAAUGUUUUGAAGCAGAGGGGUGCAUGAACGAACCGACAUAUACCAGAAAGAGAGGGAUUCGAAGAAUAUACAGGUAUGAGACUGCAUAUUUGUGAAGAACUUAAAUAAUUUGAUAGAUGUUACUUAUAUCAACAAGAUGCAUCUUUUUUUCUAAUGACCACGUGAAAGAAACUCCAUGGUUAAGCAUCACUACUACAAAAACGCUCAUACAUAACGGAUAAAAUCCGUUAUCUAUGAGACCAAAAAACCGAUAAGUAUAGUGGUGAUAUCUAUGAUACUGUCAUACAUAACGGUAAAAAAACCGUUAUGUAUAGUCGUAUAGAUAACGGUAUCUGCGCUCAUACAUAACGGUUAAUAUCCGUUAUCUUUACAAGUGAUACAUAACGGUUCUUACCGUUAUGUAUUAUUGUUUUUACCGUUAUGUAUUAGAUAUAUAUAUUAUUUUUUUUCCUAUCAUAGUUAACUAGUUUUUUGUCACUUUUUAUUAACGGUUUUAACCGUUAUCUUUGAUAGAAAUACAUAACGAUUUUUUGCAUUUUUUAUAACAGUUUUUUACACUUUUUAUAACUGUAAUAUAUAUAUUUUUAUUUUCCUAUUAUUUAUCUAAAAAUUAAAUUAAUAAUUUUAAAACAACAAAUGACAUUGCCAUCGAUAACAUAUAUUAUAUAACAUCCGAAAUAUUCAUACAUUAUCAUCCAAAUAUAAUGAAAACAACACAAAUAUUCUAGUUAGCUAUAUGAUUAAUUAAAAAAUAUUACAAAUGCGCGCAACUUGCUAGACAUUUGAAACGACGUUCUCUGCUUCAGCCUUUCUCUUUUUGUAGUAGUCCUCAUAGCUCAUCGACUCCCAUCUACUUGAUCCGCCAAGAUGAUAAACUCAAUUACACUAAUGAGCUGGAGAAUUAAAAAAAUCCGACAACAUGUGAGUUAUAUCAAAUAUUGAUGCAUAGUAAUAUAACAGAAUGCAGAAUCUAAAUCAAAUUUGAUAGAUAUAUAAAUAUGAUGAAUGAUUUUCUCAAAAGCAAGACAUUGAUUUGGAUUCAAUAUUUUGGUAAAAGGUUUUACAGAAAACACAUAAGUAAAUCUUCAAGAUCUCAAAUAUUCUAUCUAUAUUGUAAAAUGAAAAGAAGAUUACCCUCACCAACACGAGCGAGUUCACCUGCAAAACAUAGCCAACCCGAGCUUACUUAAAUAAAAGAAUAUGAAAGAUAUUAACAACCUAAAUCUUUCUAUAACUACAUAGGUAGUGAUUCUGUAUUCUACAGCAAUACUCUUCAUUUUCAUAAAGCAGAUCCAUAACAUCUAUACAAGCUUCAAACUUCACAUGCUCCCCAACUUGGGCAACUGCCCUAAGUUAACCUAAAAAAUAAAAUUCCCCAAUUAGAAUUUACACAUUAGUUUAGAAAGCAGUUUCAAACUGAAGGGGCAGAAAGAACUCCUUGUUGGUCACGAAGCUUACUUGAAUUGAACAAGAAGCUCUUCAACUGAAGCAAAAGCAAUUUCGACAUGCCAAUCCCAAAUUGCAGAACCUUAAGAACUCGAUUACUUUACCAAACAGGAAAGUGAUCCAGAGAACAAAAACAAGUCAAAUAGUAUUAGAAAGAAAUAGCACAUCAAACAAUACCUGCAUUAGCACUAUCUCCUGCAGAUUUCUUGUUAGCCAUCAUGCUNUAGGUGCCUUCCAAUUACUUACAGCUUCAACCUUAGCUGGGUCCACCUCAAUUCCAUUUCCAGUCACCACGUGACCAAGAAAAACUACUCGGUCUAGCCAAAAUUCGCAUUUCUUAAAUUUGGCAUAAAGUUUUUCACUCCUCAAUGUUUCCAAGACGAUCUUAAGGUGCUCUUCAUGUUGUGCAUUAUCUCUUGAGUAUAUCAAGAUGUCGUCGAUGAAAACUAUGACGAACUUGUCCAAAUAUGAGUGAAAAACACGAUUCAUCAUGUCCAUAAAUACCGCUGGAGCAUUGGUUAGACCGAAUGGCAUAACUACAAACUCAUAAUGACCGUAUCUUGUCCGAAAAGCUGUUUUCGGUACAUCGCUACCCUUUAUCUUGAGUUGGUGGUAGCCCGACCUCAGAUCAAUUUUUGAAAACACCUUUGCACCCUUCAAUUGGUCGAACAAAUCUUCUAUCCUUGGUAGAGGAUACUUGUUCUUGAUGGUAAGUCGAUUAAGCUCACGGUAGUCGAUACACAUACGCAUUGUUCCAUCUUUCUUCUUGACAAACAAAACAGGCGCUCCCCAGGGUGAUACACUUGGCCGUAUGAAUCCUAUGUCCAAAAGCUCUUGUAGUUGUGUUUUCAAUUCCUCCAAUUCCUUUGGUGCCAUCCUAUAUGGUGCUUUUGAAACGGGUGCUGCUCCAGGCACUAAGUCGAUCGCGAACUCCACUUGCCUGUCUGGUGGUAUUCCAGGUAAAUUCUCGGGAAAAACAUCGGAGUAAUCUCGUACUACUGGCACACUUUCGAGAGUAAGUUCUCCAUCUUCUUUGCCUACAAUGCUUACGAGAUAAGCCUCGCCAAAGCCUUUGUUCAAAAUCUUUAUUGCUUUCAUCGCAGAUAUCACCAUAGGCAUUUUUCCUAACUUUGAUCCUUGAAAUGAAAAUUCUUUCUUUCCUGGUACGUUGAAAGCAACUUCCCUCUCGUGACACUUAAUUGUUGCAAAGUUUCGACUUAGCCAGUCCAUUCCUAAAAUCACAUCGAAGUCAUGGAUUUCUAUGAGGUAUAAAUCAGCUUCAAGCUUUCUAUUUCUAAAGUUCAAGGGAAUUCUCCGAGCAAUCCUAUUCGUCUUAAUGCAUUCUCCAGAAGGGACACUUAUGUUCAAGGCUAAGUUUUCUACUUCACAAGGGAUAUGAUUCUUUUGACAAAACUUAGCAGAAAUGAACGAGUGCGAAGCUCCAGAAUCAAAUAGAACAACUGCUGGUGUUCCAGAUAUGAGUAACGUACCAGUCAUUGUGUCAUCGUCCUCUGCUUCUUCCUGAUCAGCUAAAGCGAAGAAUCGAGCAUUUCCUUUCUUUUCUGGCUCUUUGCCUCCUCUUUUGUCUGGCCCAACAUUUUUCUUCCCUUCUAGCGCAUUGUUCAUCUUUUUAGGACAAUUAUGUGUAGUGUGCCCCGGUUCGUGGCAAAAGAAACAAACUCCUUUACCCCACAUGCACUCUCCAUAGUGAUAUUUUCCACAUUUCUGGCAUUGUGGUCUUGUCCCCGUUGUUCCUGGAUUAACGCCUCCACCAAACUUCGGCCUCUUAUCUUGGAAGUUUCCUCCGCCUUGAUUAUAGUUCUCCCACUUCCUUUUCAUAGGUUGAUUCGCUGGCUUUUGUGCAGGGAUGUUUGACCCAAGAGCAGUUGCCACCUCUUCGGCUCGCUUAACCAAAUCGCUAAAAUCUUCAAUUACAUGUGCAGCCAUAAUUCCCUUGAUGUCAGUUCUCAGUCCCUUUCUGAACCUAGCUAUCAUUUUGUCUUCUGUGUCAACUAGGUGUGGUGCAAAACGAGCCAACUCAUUAAAUUUCCUCUCGUACUCCUCUAUAGUCAUAUUUCCUUGUUUCAACUCAAAGAACUCGGUUUCCUUCUUUUCUCUGAAUGACAGGGGAAAGUAUUUAUCCAUUACUACUCCCUUGAAGAUUUUCCAAUUGAGAACAUUGCGAUCCUCUUCUCCCAACAGACGAUAGAAAUGUUUCCACCAUUGUCGAGCGUCCUCUUUGAGUUGAAAAACAGCACAUGAAACUUUCUGUUCCUCGGUACAGUUGAUGUGAGUGAAAAUCCGUUCAAGCUCUUCCAACCACUCUUCAGCUGCUAGCGGUCCAUCACGUCCAUUGAAUCGUGGCGGAUUAUAAUUCCGAAAUCGCUCUACCGCUUGAUCCAUUGUGUUAGAGGUCUGGUUUAGGUCUCGUUGCGUAGCCUGAGUUUGGGUUUGCUGUUGGACAAAACCUUGUAAGGCGCUCAGAAAUUGACUCAUGAAGUCUCCUCCAUUAGUUGGAUGAGGUUGUCCAGCUUCUGCUUCGGAAUUUGUAUUUGAGUUCUCGGCGUGGUGGGAAUGUGCACGCGUAUUCCUCAUGGUUCUAUAUUCAGAGGCACUAUCACAUAAAUAAGGGAUUAUAAAACAAGACUUUUCUAGGAAAAUGCUAGGUUAUUCCUAAUUCGAGGACUA